UUUUUAUUUCUUUGUGAUUCAUCUUAAUAAUACAUAAUAUAUUUGUAUGUGAAUAUUUAAACAUUUUUUGAAGUUUUAGCAGCGUUUGUAUUCGAGAAAUUGUGUUUUGAUAUGAUAUAUUUUUACAACCUUAAGUAAAAUAUUUAAUUUCGGAACAGUAAAAAAGUUGAUGAAGGGAUUUCCCCAUAAGGUACCUCUAGGUGGCCGUACAUAGGAAAAAAAACCCCAGAUUGCUAGUGUUCCGUCAAGAUGAAAUUGAAAGGGCGUGCACAAUCACUGAGGUGCAUGGACAGGGUGUCAUAACAAUAUGUCAUCAAUAAAAAUCUGUAGUUAUUCAAAUAUUCCUUUUCUUUAAUUUCAAAUUCUUUUUUAACCAAAUCAAAAUCAACCAAAAAAAGUCACUUGCUUUUAUCAGAACACCCUGCAUGAAAGAUCGUGAGAAAUCCCAAGUAAAAAACUCAUUAAAUCAAUUCAAGAAUUUCACUAUUUGAGGCUUGUCACCAAGCAUGACAAGAAGAAAUCCCAAAACUGAUAUCAGCUCAAGACCCUGCUCCCUGCUCGAUCAUCAGGGGUAAAAGUCAAGUUAAUUUCUUCAACCGAUUUAAAAAAAAAAUUAAACCCAAUUUUUAAGUAAUUGCUCAACAUACGCUGUAAACUCUGCUCUUUAUAGACAAAAAAUACAAAUUUAAA